rnacentral:rRNA from 1 species
GUGCCAGCAGCCGCGGUAAUACCAGCUCCAAUAGCGUAUAUAAAAGUUGUUGCAGUUAAAAAGCUCCUAAUUGGAAUUUAUAAAAAGCUGAUACAUAAUCAAAUUAGACGAUGUAUCAUAUGUGAAAUAUAUUAAUGCGAUUGAGUAAUUAGUAUGUCUUAGUGCAAACUUUGAUUGAAAAUUACUCUUAUUCGUAUGAUAUAAAGUAAUGUAUGGGUGAAGUCUUAAAAGAUUUAAUCGGUGUACAUAAUUUAAACGGAUAUCAACUCCAGAAGUUGAUAGUUUCGUUCAUUUUUCACUUUGAAAAAAUUAGAGUGUUCAAAGCCGAGCUAAAAUUGCUCGAAUGUUAUAUCAUUGUAUGAAAUAACAUGAUCUCGUUUAGACUUUUUUGUCUUCUUUUAUUGAUCUAAAAUGAGAUAAUGAUUAAAAGGAACAGCCGGUGGCAUUGGUAUUACGGCGCUAGAGGUGAAA